rnacentral:rRNA from 1 species
GGGGAAUAUUGGACAAUGGGCGAAAGCCUGAUCCAGCCAUGCCGCGUGAGUGAUGAAGGCCCUAGGGUUGUAAAGCUCUUUCACCGGUGAAGAUAAUGACGGUAACCGGAGAAGAAGCCCCGGCUAACUUCGUGCCAGCAGCCGCGGUAAUACGAAGGGGGCUAGCGUUGUUCGGAAUUACUGGGCGUAAAGCGCACGUAGGCGGAUUGUUUAGUGAGGGGUGAAAUCCCAGGGCUCAACCCUGGAACUGCCUCUCAUACUGGCAAUCUCGAGUCCGAGAGAGGUGAGUGGAAUUCCGAGUGUAGAGGUGAAAUUCGUAGAUAUUCGGAGGAACACCAGUGGCGAAGGCGGCUCACUGGCUCGGUACUGACGCUGAGGUGCGAAAGCGUGGGGAGCAAAC